UACAGUUAAACCUGUCACCCGUUCUGUGUGACCAGGGGUGGCCCAGAUGGCUGCCACAGCAAAUUCUGAAGCUCAUGGGCCCCAGGCCCCAUGCCCUGGGAUCUGAGGAUAAGUUUGGCUGCAGACAUGG